UUUAAACUCAUAUUCGGAUCGUUAGUUAGAUGCGUCUGAAGGUGGAAAUUCCAUAACCAGUAUAGUGUUUUAGUAUUUUCUAGGGUUGUAAAACAGGUACGGCAUGUGUUCAGUAUGAUUCUUUAUUUUGUGAGAAUUAUGUAGAGGCAGAAGACGAUGGAAGAAAAUAUGUCUACACCCCGAAAGAAAGUCAUUUUAGAACAAUUUUUUUCAUGCUGGAUUGACACUUGGCCAAUGAGUCUUCCCACUUUGGAGAGGCUAAGAAAAACAUCAAAUUUGCAGCCCAUUGCUUUACAGCUUUGUAUUUGUAAUGACAUGAAUACUCAUACAUAUACAUUUCAUAUAAGUGUUAGAAAAAAGAAAAAAGAUGUAUAGGGCAGAAACAAUAGAUUUCACGUAUGUCUCUUGUGCAUGGUCUUUUUGGCGCAACAGUAUAGUUACUCUAUUGUAACUUGGGUGAUGAGUCUGAAACAAGGAAAUGACUUCUCUGCAUGUGGGAAUAAGGCUGCAUACACCUAACCCCCUUCCAAACCUCAUAGUGGCUAGAGCCUCAUGCACAUAGUUUCAAUCUACUCUCCAUUCGAGUUUAUGCAUUAUUAUAUGUUAGACAUUCCAAUUCUCUCAGCAAAUCGAGUCUCUUAUUGCAUGCAAUGCACAGCCAGCAAUAUUUGCACGUUGCCAUGGCUCGCUGCCCUUUUUGAAUUCAAACUAAUGCUAGAACAGUAGGAAGAGAUGGAUGUUUGGACCAGAACUCUUGGCCUUCUGGCUGGGUUAAAAUCCUUGAGUGCAUACAUUCAUAAAACCCAAUGUUCUAUUAAAAAGGAUGAUAAUAACAACAAGAGGCUGCUAUGUGAAAUGUUAUAUAAUCUUGAGUACCCUUAAAUAUAGUUGGAUCAUUUACUGCACACCCUUAAACAUAAUCCUGAGCACUGAACAUUAACAUUCUCUAUUUCAUAUGCUCUACUACUUCCACUAGGUAUUUGCAUAAGAACAGCAGUAAUUUUAAAAUGCUUCAUGAAUUACCUGAUGUUUUGUCCUGUCCCACAUGGCAGUUGAACUAGGCCCAACAGGCUUGUGUUUGACUUGGCGUAUAUUGAAUUAUUUUAUGGGACUAUCCCCUAGUUACUUGGUAAAGACAUGCUCCGUAUCAUUGGUCUUUCAAUGCAGUUUCUAGUCAAGACUUCACUUUGCCAGCAGUAUGUGUAAGCUGAUGUUUUCUGGUUUUCUGGUUUGCAUAUCCCAGUCCCCUCUAAUUAUUACUCGUCCAAACUUUAUCCUGUGAAAGUUAUUUUAUUUUAUUGGUACCUGUCUUUGUCUCCUCCAUAGUUCUUCCUGGAAUAACAGCUUUUUAAUAGUUCUUUUUGCCAGGAUUAUGUCCCUCAAUUCUUUCAAGUCCAUCAGGAGAAUAGAAGACAGUCAUGCAUAUUAGCUGAUGCAUCUUUUCUGAAAUUUUCUUUUAAAGUAGAAAGAAAUGAACCAGGGUCAUAUAGUUUCUGACUAGUUGCACGUCAUACUAUUUACUAUUCCAUCUGUCUGAUCAAGAAUAUUUGCUAUCUGUCUUACGCAUGGAACUGGCCAUGACGAUGGAGCAGCAGGUCCAUCUGGUGGCUUUACCUUCUAUACAUGUUUGGCUUUGUUGCAUAUCUUGGCAGUAAUUAUCCCAUAAUUAAGCUCAAAUAAUUCUCUUUUUUUUUGUGGGGGAAUGGGGUGGGGAGGGACUCAGAGACUUUACAGUUGCUGUCACGUAACAGAGGUUGAGGAUACUCAUGAUAGGCUGUCAUUUUUGGAUGGCAGUGCAAUCUUGAAUUUGCCAAUGUUUUAUCUUGAACGUAUAUUCUGCCUUAAUUACUUAUCAAAAUACCAUGUCUUGCUCUUCAAAGGCUAGCUUUCUAGUGGCAUUAUAUUUCUCAGAAUUCAGUCACUCCAUCUGCUAACAUGCCCUGACAUUUAAUCAUAGUUUUCCUUCCAACAGUCACAUGCAAUAUCCAUCAUAUUGGUCAAGGAAAAAGAUGAAUGUCACAACAACUUUGACAAAGGGAAUCUCUCUCUCUCUCUAUAGAAAGAAAACUAGGUUCAGUUUGCUUGGAAAUUCAAAUAUCAUCCAUUAAGAUGCUUCCACUAGACCUAUUAUAAGAUUAGCUACAUGAUUUCCAAUAUUAAUGACAACAUAAACCAUGAAAUUGGCUUAAUCAAAAGCAUCUGAAAAAAUGACAUAAACUUGUUCAGCCAAGCAAUUUCACUUGGUUUAUUAAUUUGUCUUAAAUGAUGCAAGGUUUAAUGAAUACAACGAUACAAAUCAAUUACUUUAUAUAACUUGCAUUUUAGUGCUAAACAUGCAUCCCUGGGGCUUGUCACACAGAACUUUGUAUAGGCUGGACAUGAGUCUAGCUGAUGUCAAGAUGAAUUGGUCUGAUCAAUGCUUUUCGAAGUACCCUCUAUAGAGAUGUUGAUAGUUGACCGCAUGUUUACCGGAGAUCAUUUAGAAGUAGAUUCUUGUUAAGUGCAGUAUCAAGCAAUGUAGGCACAUGCUAUGCAUAUGUACUUUGUUGAAACAUACUUAAGGUUUAAAGGAUAUAACCUUAAAGACACUUGAGAUGUGUUACCGUGUACUAUUCUUAAAGUACAUUGUUUAUACCAACUGGCAAUUGGUAAUGCUAUUAAAGCUAUCUUACAUCUUGUAUCAGCCUAGAUACAAGGUCUCGAGCUAAUAACAAUUCAAAUAAUAAUAACUACCGCAGUCAUUAACCUGGAGGGUUGGCUAAUAAAGGAGCUGUUUAUUAUAUACUGACUAAGAAGGACCCCUCAGGCAUUUUUUCUUAAAUAUUGGGUACUGCUGUCACUCGAUGUUCAAGCUGCACAACCUCAGGUGUCAAUGAUUGCUUUGUGGAGGCUGGUUUCGACAGUCUUAUGGAAAAGUUUCUUCCGCUUGGUGUGCAUGGACAAUCACCUUGGGGAUCCGUAGUUACAGAUCAAUGAUGAUCCAUAAUGAGAACUGAAACAAGGAAUAAAGGAAAGAUUUUUUGUUCCUUUCUUUCUAGCCAAAUGUAAUCUAUAUGUAAGUGCAUUUUAAUUACCAAGAACAGGAUAUAUGCUUAUUCAAGCAUGGUGUUUCAGGUGCACAUGUCAGGAGUGCUUGCUGCAUAUCAACCUCUGAUGAAAAUGCGUUAUGUGUCUGAAUGCAUUGUGAUAUCAGAACCCAAUAGUACUUUUUGUUGUUAUGAUAAGCUCGUUAGAGAUUUGGUUUUCCUUUUUAAGCCAAAUAGGCAGUUCCUGACAUUUGAACACCUCGAUCAUGUUGGAUGGGAACUGUUCUCCAUUUGUGAAACGGCUUGGAGCUUAUUGUUGCCAGCAGACUGAAGCUUGGAAACCAAUUGGAAGUUGGCAUUUCAGAGCUUGGCUUCGGGCAGUCUGAGGCCUGUUUUAUCAUUCAGAGAGAUUUUGGGUUGAGUUUUUAAUAUUUUGAGAAAUCAGCUUCCUUGCGGUUGUUCCCCCACCCUCAUAAGAACACGGUAAUGAUCAAUAGGGUCUAAAUAUCCCACCAAAUUCUGAACCCCCUCCAAGACCGAGAGUCUCUCUAUAAACAUAGUCAAAAAUAGACCUGCUGCUUCUAUUAUUGUUUGAGUUGGUUC